rfam:marine actinobacterium PHSC20C1 scf_1099646003201 genomic scaffold, whole genome shotgun sequence.
GGGGAUGAUCGGUUUCGACAUUGCCUGCAAAACUGUGAGAAGCGGGUCGAGAAUGCAGCCUUAUCUCGUUAACGAUGACUGCAAACUAUAAGUGCCAAUUCAAAGCGCACUGACUUCGCCCUCGCUGCCUAAGCGAGCGCACUAAAGAAGUCCGUCAGACCGGGAAUGCUCUCUACCCGGAUCCUGGCGCAAUUUAGAGAGAUUGCUGCGUAGUUACGCCUGAGGGCUACGCGGGACUUGCACUCUGGCUGGGCUUGUUGAUCUAGGUGCUUGUGGCAAAGAUCAGAGCCGAGUAGAACGUCUGCACAAGCUACACCCGUAGAAGGCACAGAAUUACAGCAGUGGACGGGGGUUCAAUUCCCCCCAUCUCCACCA